rnacentral:rRNA from 1 species
UACGUAGGGUGCGAGCGUUAAUCGGAAUUACUGGGCGUAAAGCGUGCGCAGGCGGUUUUGUAAGCCAGAUGUGAAAUCCCCGGGCUUAACCUGGGAAUGGCAUUUGGGACUGCAAGGCUCGAGUGCGGCAGAGGAGACUGGAAUUCCUGGUGUAGCAGUGAAAUGCGUAGAUAUCAGGAGGAACACCGAUGGCGAAGGCAGGUCUCUGGGCCGACACUGACGCUCAUGCACGAAAGCGUGGGGAGCAAACAGG